GAUAUUUUUUAUACUUGUUUCUUUCAUCCAUGUUUAAUAUUGUUUGAUUGUUUAACAUAUUCAUACUCUCAUACAUUGUUUAAUGCCUUUAUUUUUUAUACUUGUUUCUUUCAUCCAUGUUUAAUAUUGUUUGAUUGUUUAACAUAUUCAUACUCUCAUACAUUGUUUAAUGCCUUAUUAUUUCAUUCUUUGAUUUAUUUGGU
rnacentral:lncRNA from 1 species